rnacentral:rRNA from 1 species
AGAGUUUGAUCAUGGCUCAGGAUAAACGCUGGCGGCGCACAUAAGACAUGCAAGUCGAACGGACGAAGUUGAUUCUUAACGAUUUAACUAAGUUAGUGGCGGACUGGUGAGUAACACGUAAGCGACCUGGCUAUAAGAGGGGAAUAACAGUGAGAAAUCAUUGCUAAUACCGCAUAAGCUCACAGUGGUGCAUGCCAUAGUGAGAAAAGGAGUAAUCCGCUUAUAGAUGGGCUUGCGGCUGAUUAGCUAGUUGGUAGGGUAAUAGCCUACCAAGGCGACGAUCAGUAGCCGGACUGAGAGGUUGAACGGCCACAUUGGGACUGAGAUACGGCCCAGACUCCUACGGGAGGCAGCAGUCGGGAAUAUUGCGCAAUGGAGGGAACUCUGACGCAGUGACGCCGCGUAUAGGAAGAAGUUUUUCGGAAUGUAAACUAUUGUCAUUAGGGAAGAGGAAGGACGGUACCUAAGGAGGAAGCCCCGGCUAACUAUGUGCCAGCAGCCGCGGUAAUACAUAGGGGGCGAGCGUUAUCCGGAAUUAUUGGGUGUAAAGGGUGCGUAGACGGGAAAUUAAGUUAGUUGUGAAAACCCUAGGCUUAACUUAGGAAUUGCAACUAAAACUGAUAUUCUUGAGUACUGGAGAGGAAAGUGGAAUUCCUAGUGUAGCGGUGAAAUGCGUAGAUAUUAGGAGGAACACCGGUGGCGAAGGCGACUUUCUGGACAGAAACUGACGUUGAGGCACGAAAGCGUGGGGAGCAAACAGGAUUAGAUACCCUGGUAGUCCACGCUGUAAACGAUGGAUA